CUUUUUUGCUAUCUGCGAUACUCAAAGAUUCGAAGUUGCCGCAGGUUCGAGUUGAGCGCAGCGAAACAACGGAGCCGCUCGCGGCGACGGCCCGAAGGGCGAGCGAAGCGAGUCAUCCUGCACGACCCACCA
rnacentral:sRNA from 1 species